UACAGAGGUCCCAAGCGUUGUUCGGAUUCACUGGGCGUAAAGGGUGCGUAGGUGGUGAGGUAAGUCGGAUGUGAAAUCUCCGAGCUCAACUCGGAAAUGGCAUUGGAAACUGCCUUGCUAGAGGAUCGGAGGGGGGACUGGAAUACUUGGUGUAGCAGUGAAAUGCGUAGAUAUCAAGCGGAACACCAGUGGCGAAGGCGAGUCCCUGGACAACUCCUGACACUGAGGCACGAAAGCUAGGGGAGCAAACAGG
rnacentral:rRNA from 1 species